GCAUUGGUGGUUCAGUGGUAGAAUUCUUGCCUACCAUGCAGGAAGCCUGGGUCCGAUUCCAGGCCAAUGCA